AUUGAACGCUGGCGGCAGGCUUAACACAUGCAAGUCGAGCGGUAACAGGAGAAGCUUGCUUCUCGCUGACGAGCGGCGGACGGGUGAGUAAUACUUAGGAAUCUACCUAGUAGUGGGGGAUAGCUCGGGGAAACUCGAAUUAAUACCGCAUACGACCUACGGGAGAAAGGGGGCAGUUUACUGCUCUCGCUAUUAGAUGAGCCUAAGUCGGAUUAGCUAGUUGGUGGGGUAAAGGCCUACCAAGGCGACGAUCUGUAGCUGGUCUGAGAGGAUGAUCAGCCACACCGGGACUGAGACACGGCCCGGACUCCUACGGGAGGCAGCAGUGGGGAAUAUUGGACAAUGGGGGCAACCCUGAUCCAGCCAUGCCGCGUGUGUGAAGAAGGCCUUUUGGUUGUAAAGCACUUUAAGCAGUGAAGAAGACUCCAUGGUUAAUACCCAUGGACGAUGACAUUAGCUGCAGAAUAAGCACCGGCUAACUCUGUGCCAGCAGCCGCGGUAAUACAGAGGGUGCAAGCGUUAAUCGGAAUUACUGGGCGUAAA
rnacentral:rRNA from 1 species